rnacentral:rRNA from 1 species
UACGGAGGGAGCUAGCGUUAUUCGGAAUUACUGGGCGUAAAGCGCACGUAGGCGGCUUUGUAAGUAAGAGGUGAAAGCCCAGAGCUCAACUCUGGAAUUGCCUUUUAGACUGCAUCGCUUGAAUCAUGGAGAGGUCAGUGGAAUUCCGAGUGUAGAGGUGAAAAUUCGUAGAUAUUCGGAAGAACACCAGUGGCGAAGGCGGCUCACUGGACCGGUAUUGACGCUGAGGUGCGAAAGCGUGGGGAGCAAACAGG